rnacentral:lncRNA from 1 species
AAAAGUUAGUUUAGUAAUCAAAAAGGGAAAGCACAACAUACACGAUAAAACAGCAAAACGACUUUGGAAGGUAUAUAUGUAUAUCCCACAGGCUUCAUAGGAUACCAUCCAUGUUUAUCUCUUCUUCUCAAACCUUAAGAACUGUAAAUUACAACUGAAUAAUUACUAAAAAUACAGGUAUAGAGUAUCCCUAUAAGGCUCUUAUAUUGACUAAUUGCCUGUUCUGUUUCCACUCUCAAUAACUGGCUCAAGAAUGGAGCAUAAACCAACUUAUUUAAGUGACAAACAAGCACUUUUGAGUACAAAUGAAGGGCAGUAUUUAGGUUUUACAAACACUUGUUCAGGACAACGCCAGCAUACAACAUCGAAUAAUUUCAGUUGACAUGUAAUGUAAGGGCGGUUGUGCAGGGGUCGAGGCAUAUGCAAAUAUUUACAGGCCUUACCGUGCACCUAGCUUUUUCUUUUUUCAAGGCCAAAAAAUUCAACUUGUGUAGUAAAUCUGACCGGUUUGAAGUCAGACAUUUGAUAAAGCUUUUAAGCUUUUCUGUUUUUUUUUUUUGGGGGGGGGGUGUUGUUCCUGGGCAUCAAAGAGGGUGCUUCGGGUUUUUCCUGCAGAAAAUUAGACAAGUCAAUUUCUAAUUGAAGAAUUCAGGUAGAGGAAGUGCAACGGAAGGGAUCAGUUUGAAACCAGAAUGAAGAUACCAGAAAAUAUAAUUGUAACAGUCUCAUGAGGUUCGAUUUCGUGAAUGCUCUUUCCUAAUUGCAUGCUUCCUCUCACGCUUGUGCCCAACCAAUUUUACCAAUCCAGAUGACGGAGCUUUUUCCCUUCCAAAUUUAAGGUCUUCACCACCAAUCAUGUACUUAUUUCCAGCUUCAGGCACAGUAAAAUCAGCAGGGUUUCUAUUAAUGUGGCAGAUACCAGUCUCUGAACCACUUUUUGGAUGGAAGAGAGUGCCGCUCAUAGAAUGAGCCUUAUGCUUCUGUUUUGUUGCACUCUCCUUUGGAUGAAAUGUCAUGGGAAACAUCGUAAAAUCUGCAGUUCCAAGCGCCAAUUUCGGCAAACUAUGAACAGGAAUAGAUCCACAAGUUGUGUUUAAGCCACUAUUUGAAGAUGAAGUUUUUUGUGAUCUGUGGUUUUUACUCUGCCUUUGCGAGUCUGAGCAUUUGUUUUUCUCUUUUUCUCGAGACUUCAGUGAAAUUUGACCCACAAAAUCAGGUGCUUUCUUGAAACUUUUACCAUGCUGGAAUGAAGUAGAAGGACCGACUGCUGGAGUGGCUGACACACACUCACAGAAACUCUCAGGUAGGUGGUUUUUACUGUAGCAAUCAAAUGAUAGAUGUUUCAUUGAAUUGGUUCUAUAUCCCCCUGAUGGCAUGCUUGAAAACUCCUUAGGACGAUGACCAGGAACAAAAGAAGUUUUCUUAACAAAUCUUUGGUUUCCAUCAACAUCAACUGAUGCCCCUGACUGUAACCCUGCAUCCAUAAGACUGAGUAAAUGCAUGGCUGGUAUUGUUUCAUUCGAAUACAGAUCUAACGGCCCUGCCCCAUUAUGCUUGCAAGAAAAUGAGUAAUCUGUAUGUGUCCUUCUAAGCGCUUCAGAAUCAAACUUCCUACAAUGCUUCUCAUAGUUUGAAGCCAGAUUCAAGAAGUUCCGGUCAUCAUUUCGGCUCAUAUUUCCCUUAGGUAGACUGCUGGGGCAAUGUGAAAGCACAUCUAAACUUGCAACCUGAUCAGCACACUUUUGAGGGAUGCUGUGCACAUAGGACAUGCUACUCGGUAUCAUGGAUGACCAUAGGUGAGCUACUUCUUUAUUCUGCGGUGGAGCACUCUGGCAUGUGUUACAAACUCCCAAUGCCUGCACAUUAGCAUGAGAGGACCUUUGCCCAACCAUGUUCCUUACCUGCUGGCAAUUUUGAGCACUGUUUUGCCUGAUGGAAUUGGUGGCAGAAAAUUGGACCCCAUUCAAUGGCUUCUCUCCACAUAGAGGAAAAGGUCUAAAGCCUGCAGGGGGGUAACCUUGUUCCAACUGGCUCAUCUUGUACUGGUUUCGGUCUAUAUGAGAGAAAUAGUCCACUGACUUUUGCUUGCUGGAUCCCACAUUAUCGCCUCUUGCAAACUUGCCAAUUCUUUCGUUUUUAGCUUGAGCUUCCAGUUUAUCUGGGGUCUCUUGAAACAGGAUCAUCUCUUCAUUUUCAUAUACUUUAUUAAGAUCCACCCUCUGAUGAAUUUUGGUGUUACUGGUUUCUGGCAGCUGUUUAUCAAUUUCAGUAUCAGGAAGACACCGUUCAUACUGAUUCUUUGCCAUGAGUUCAGCAAUUUCCAUUAUGUCAUCUGCAGCUCCUUGCUCAGAAACCAUUUCAACACGUUGAUCAUAAUGCUCCCUGGCAACUGUUGCAUGGUCUGGAAACUCCAUAGUUCUCCCAUUGUUGCUUGUAACACUGAAAUCCUGCAAAAGAGAUAAGAUGGAAAGAAACCCUCUUCUCAAUUUCACAGAAACAACAUGAUGGAAAAACAGAUGCAUUAAUUAGCAGAACUUUUCCUCAUUACGUUGGAAAUGUUUGCCAUAAAGUUCACAUGAUUGCUUAAGUUAAUGCUACAUAUAUAUGCCAUCUUCAAAGUUAUCAACAAAAAUGCUAGUAUCUAAGCUUUCAUAUAUUAGAUAACAUGAGCUUAUAUCAGAACCAAUUAGUGUUUUAAAAAAUUCCAAGAGAUCUGUAUUUUGGAGUAAGGAUUAAGGAUGGAAGCAAAAGUUGUUUCAAAGCAAAAGAAAAAGAUGUGAACCAGUUUUCCCAAAAAAGAAAAAGAUGUACGUACCUUUUUGAAGUUUUAUAACUGGUUGAAGAAAAGGGAAAGUUUCUGGCUCAAAAAUAUAUAUAUAGUUGAUCUGAAAAUUCCAGAAACUUUAUUCUAAAUGCUAAUCAUAACUUGAAUAAUUCAUGUAUGCCAAAACUGAAUGUAAAAACAAACUUGGUUACAGAGGAAAAAUAAAUGUGGGGAAAGAUCACACAAAUGAUUCUGCAAAAAUAUCUUAUGAAUUUAUUUUCUUUUUCAUUAUAAAUGCCAGUUCACUACUUGAUCAACAGAAUAAAAGUUCAUACCAUUUGCAGCAUUGUGGAACAACUCCCAACUUCAUCAGGAGAUCUGUGCUUCUGCGUCUCAUUUAGGAACGGUAUUCCGUAUGUGAUUUGAUUACUGUUGAGAUCAACAUGCAUACCCUUCCAAAGGAAGGCAUCAACUUGAGAUUUAGUUGGAAAAGUACACUCUCCAACAUGGUUCAUGUUUAGAUCUUUCCUCCUAGUAUCAUAUUCACUAAGAACACACCCUUGGCAAGAUGAUAAAGAUUGUAGCCCAUCUCUUAUUGAAGUACUACAUUUUGCAUCAUAUCUUUUAGCAGGAAAGCAAUUACUAAGGGAAAAUUGCACUCCUUUUUCAGGUGAUGCAUCCUGGGUUAAUUCAAGAGGAACAGCUACAUUCCCAAUUUGUCUUAUUUCUACAUCUUCCCUUGAAGUCAGACCUUCUCUGAGAAUGCCAUUGUUCCAAGGAACUGGAGAAGCUUGCCGAUCAUGAUCUAGAUGCAUCUUGCUCUUUUUCUUCAACAAAUUAGACUUUUUUUCUGCCAUUGCGGCAGAUAGAGUUAAGGGAUUGAACCCACUGCCUGCAGAUACAUCAUUUGAUUUGUACAAAGCAAUAUCAGUGGCAUCACUCUUAGUGGCAUCUCCAGGCUUUUUCUGUCUUUCCUUCUGCAGAUUUUCUCGAGACAGAUGCAAGGAUGGACAUUGAUCAAUACUCUGGGUCUUUUUGUUUUUCUUCUUUCCUAGAAUAGGACUUCUAUCAACUUUAAAGUUAACCAAAUUGCUCUUUGCUGGAGUCUGUAAGCUGCUUCUGUUAAUUGUACCUUCUGAAUCAGAACUUGUGAUCCCAUCAGCAGUUUCUGCAUCUCUGUUGAAGGUCCUAAGGUUUUUAUGGCCAUUAUUUGGAGAGCUCAUCAAUUCCCCAGGCAUCCAUUCUUCAUCCUGUGGCAUCUUUCUUUUCCUUCUACGAGCCAAACUACUCAUAACAUUUCCAUGGAAAGUGACCGGACCUUGGGAAGCAGAUACUGAAUCUAUGUGUACGGACGCAUCAGGAUUGGUACUAGAAGGAGAAUCCUCUGUACUCGUGAGAUUAGUUUUUUCAUCUUUGUUUUUACCCAACAAUUCGGUCAGCAGACGCACCUUACGGUUUUUUCUUCGAUGCACGCUGCCAGAUGCAGUUCCAGGCAAUACCUCAUCACUAUCAGAUGAUGUGUAAUCACAAUCAUCUAAUUCCAAAGAAGAAUGUCCAUCUGUAUGAAUCUUGAAAGUAUCAGGAACCCUAUGAACUGUACUUGCUAUUCCAUGGGAUCCACAACCUGUUACCAACUCCAUCUGUUGAUCACAGGCAGAUUUUCCUGUUUGACGUAUUUCAGUGGCAUCCUUAACUGCAUGCUCCACAUUUGAUUCAGGAAGCUUGACACCAGCAACUUCAUUAUCUUCUAAAUUGGGAUUAUGAUGUUGCAGAGAAGCCACUGUUGCAGAAAUAAGAAACAGUGUUAUUGCAGCUACUGUUGUUCCAGUUUCAGUUGCAAUGCAGGAAAAUGCUUAAGUUUAUUUAUAUGGUCUUUUACUCAUGGUAGACAUACCUUUUUCAUCUAAACAAAGUGCUUGCUUCAUAAGGCUAGCAAUAACUUCUAUUCCAGCAUAUUUCGGAAUCUCCUUAUUAAUGUUAUUUUCUAAGAUAUCUGUUUGCCCUGGAAAAACAACCAAAACAAUUUAAGUUCUAAUUUAGUGGUAGCCACAUGAAGACUGAGCUAGGAUAGAUAUAUACCUAUGACCUGUACAUCUGUGUUUUCCACUCUCUUGUCACUUUUACCACUAACGAAAGGAUGACUGCUAUUAACAUUCAAACAAGCAAUAGCAUCACAUUUUCUUGAGUCAACAUUACUCUUUCCAGCCUGCAGCAAACCUGAUGAAGACACUACAGAAUCCCCAAGGGAUGACACAAGGGGACAAGAGCCAAAGGAUUUCAAUUUGCUACUAUCAUUAGUAACAUUUCUUUCUUCAUUUAUACUGCCUUCAGCCCCAAUGUCCCGCAGACAGUUCUGGCAACACCACCAUCUGAACUUUGGAACAAGUAAAGGAGGAAGCUUACAGUUCUGUUCUUUAAAUAUAUUCUGGCCACCAUCUAAUGAAAAUGGCCAACUUUUCUUCCAGUCUUUCCUGCGCAUCUCAGAUGCAUAUCCACUGCAUUUAAAUCAAAGGGAAUUUAUGAGGAAGACUUCCAACAUGACCAUUAAUGCACCACAUAUAGCAACUAGCAAGUUUGAAGGGAGUACUCAAAGAACUAUACAUCUGCAGAAGCCAUUUAUAGAUAUCAAAUCUUGCAAUAAAUUUCCCUCAAAUUAUAAAGGGAAUUUAUGAGUAAGACUUCCAACAUGACCAUUAAUGCACUGCAUAUAGCAACUAGCAAGUCUGAAAGUAGUGCUCAAAGAACUAUGUAUCAGCAGAAACCAUUUAUAGAUAUCAAAUCUUGCAAUAAGUUUACCUCAACUUAUAACUGUAAUCCCUUUAUUCGAUGCCAUUACAUAAAUUAGAUGUUUAGUAUACUUUCAUAUUUGUUGGAGAUAUGAUCUCAACAUUCCAUUCUAUCUCAAACAAUAUGUUGAUAAAGAAUAAAAUACCUCAGCUAAUGCACUAAUUUAUAACUAGAAUAUCCAAGACAUUUUGAUCCAAUCCCUAAAAUGUGGAGAAAAGUCAUCGUGCACACACACAAACAAGAAAGCUAUGAAGUUAGUGAGGAAGCAUGAACAACUGAAGGAAAGAAAUAAGUUAAUUAAUUCUAUCAAUAAUUCUCAUUUUGAUAGAUGAUUUCAAAAGCAUUUAUUAGGAUAUACCCUCACGUAUCAAUUGAUUCCACUAAGGAAAGAUACCUCUCUCACAUAGGUACACUCGCUGCAUAUAGCCCACACUCAAACUGCAGCUACCAUAAACCCAUUUUCAACAACAAUGGUAGUAUAUAGAGAGCUUGAGCAAGUUCAACAAGUAGACAAGAGCACUGAAUAUUAAGGAUCAUGGCUUACCGAAUAGAAAAAUGUUCACACUUCCUAGUAUCAAUGUCAUCAUUAGCAUUGAUAAGAUCUAUGGAUAUUGAGUCAAUCUUUAUGGGUGAUUCCAUGGACUUGGCGACAAGAUUAGAACUGCAACUGUGAUGAGUUUCCUUGACCACAGUAGUUGUCUCCAUGCUAUGAGUAACUAACGGAUAACACCAAUGUGCAACAAUUAGAUAUGCCAUGAGCAUUGAUAACAAUACAUAGUAACAGUGUAACUAUAUCCAUAAGCUGCCAUGAGCAUUGAUAACAAUACAUAGUAACAGUGUAACUAUAUCCAUAAGCUGCCAUGAGCAUUGAUAACAAGACAUAGUAACAGUGUAACUAUAUCCAUAAGCUGCCAUGAGCAUUGAUAACAAUACAUAGUAACAGUGUAACUAUAUCCAUAAGCUGUCAUGAGCAUUGAUAACAAUACAUGGUAACAGUGUGACCAUGUCCAUAAGCUAUGUAAUCAACAUGCAUGAAGCUCUAAGAUAUUAAGUAUAGCACAAGAACUUAAGCACGCACUUAAUGAUUCCUAGGAAUUCAAGAUGAAAUAACAGCAAUACAGUAAGACGGAUACAAUAGAAAAGAUGAGAAGCUGGAAAGCCCCUAUAUAUGGUGAUUUAUUACAUAAAAUAAUAACUUAUAGCAGUAGAGGACUGAAUACUAUUCAAAGGGAACAAAAUUGGAAACCCUAGUUCCCAUGAAACCAAACAUAAAUAUGAUUGCAGUUACAGCAUUAAUGUUUCAAUAACAUCCUAAUAGAUUAUAUAGCAAAACCCAUCCAUUUAGAAUACAAAGUAAAUCAUCAAAUUACACCAAUAAGGUAAAAAAACAUGUUAGGGUUUUAUCAGAUAAUACGAACUAAAGUUUUCGAUGAGAAUAAUAGUCUUGUUAUCAAUGCAAAAAUAAUAAGCUUUAAAACUCACCUCCAAGCCUUCGAGUUUGAUGUUACAAUAAUCCAUAAAAUGAAAAAUUUUAUCUAGGGUUUCAUAACUAUCAAAAUUCACAAGCUAGUGAACAGUGAACAUCAUUUCCACGACCACAAAACCGAUAAAAGAGUACAUAAAAUAUCCAUUAAAAAGGUGAAUAUAUUAACUCAUAAAGCAAACCCAGAUGCCAAAACGUCAAUAAAAGUCUAAACUUAACGUACUAAACACAGUAAACUAACCCAAGAUAACUGAAAUAAACAAAAAGCUCCAGCUCAGCUUAAACUCGUAUUAAUCAAAAGGAAACAAAUCAAUAACAAAACAAACCCAGAGCUUUAAAUUGUAAUUAGAUCAGAAAAAAAUACCUUUAUUUGAGUUAUUACCUCUUAAGACAAUCUAAAACCAACCCAGCUUCGAUUCUUCACGGCCAGUCGAGAAAAUGGUAUCAAAAGGAAGAACAUUGAUCGACCUAGUAGAAGAUUGAGUCUUUCUGAAGAGAUCUGAAGCUCGUCGUGUAUAAUUUGAGUGCGACGUUUGGAGAAACCCUAGCUUCAACAAAGGAGAGGUUUUUCGAUUCUUUUAGAGAGAGAGAGAAAGAAGAGUAGACAAGAAAAGAGUUUUUAUCUUUUGUCCUUGAAAGGAGGGUCUUUUGUUGUUGUUGUAUUAAAAAUCAUCUGUAAAAAAAAUAUUUCUAUAUAAUUUAUUUUAUUUUAUUUUAUUUAGAAAGUAUAAGAGAGAAAACCAAUGCUAGGAAAAAGAACCAAUGGAUUUGGCCCACGUGGAAGUGAGGUUCGGUUCUUAUCACAAUUCCAUUAUGGGUGUUGCCCUAGAUUGGAAUAAUGAAAAAAGCGCACUAUUAGAACGCGUUGGUACACGCUCCUGUUCCCAAAGCAUUAAAUAUUAGUAGAUUUUCAUAGAACAUCCCUGUACUAUGCAUUUUUUUUAGAUUUAGUCUCUCUAUUAUAAUUUAAUUAUUUCUAAUAUCUCUACUUUUCAAAAUGAAUAUUUUUUUUAAUUUUGAAUCAAAUUAAUUAUAUAUAAAAAAUAAUUUUAUGUAAAUUUAAUUAUAAAGUAUACAAAUUAUUAAAAUAAAAUAUAUUUUAAGUAAUGAUACAAACUCUAAAUCAAUUUAUAUUAAAUGUAAUAUAAAUUUUAAAUAUAAUUAUAUUUAGAUAACUAUAAUAUAAUUUUGUUAAUAUAAUUAUUUUAAAUUUAACUUGAAUCAAUUUAGAAUUUGUAUCAUUAUUUAUAAAUUAGAAUAAAUAUCAAAAUUAUACAUGAAUUUUGAUUCAAUGUGCAAUGUCAUAUAUAAACUUUAGUUUUGUGCAAUUUUAUACAUGAAAUUUUAAUUUGAUUCAAUUUUCCCGAAUCACUAACAACAUUAUUGAAUUAGCACAAUUUUACGUUGAUAUAUUGUUAACAAAAAUAAUUAUAUUAACCGAAUAGGAAAAUAAAUAUAUGUAUUCAUUUCUUUAAAUGUGUACAAUUGAAUCAAAAUCAAAGUUUCAUGUAUGCAUAUGUACCACAAUUCAAAUUCCAUGUGUAUAAUUGCACCAAAUUGAAAUUCAUAUAUUGAAUUGCACAUUGGACAAAAAUUCAUGUAUAAAUUUGAUAUUUAUCCCCUAAAAUUUAUUAUAUACUAAUAUUUAAUAUACUUCAUAAUUAAAUUUACAUAAAAAUAUUUUUAUAUAUAUAAUUAGUUUGAUUUAAAAUAAAAAAAUCUUGAUCAAAUUUGAUUUAAUAUGGACAGACUAAAUAGCUCGAGAGACCUUAUUACGAUUUAUGGAGUAAAUAACAUAAUUUUUUAUAUUUUUAAUUUUAUUAAAUAUUUAAAUUUAUUUUUUAAAAAAAUUAAUUUCAAAGAGUUUUUAAUUUUUCAAAAAAAAUUAUACUUCUAUUGAAAAUAUGAAAAAAAAAUAAUUUUUAAAACAUUUUUGUAAUUGUUUAUGUGGUUUUAAGAGUAAAGACCAAUUUGACAAAAAAUUGUAAAUGUUAAGGAUAAAAAAGUUGUUUUGCCUUCUUUCAACAAUUCUAAUAGUAAAAUUGAUGAAAGGACCAAGAUUUAUAAAUAAAUAAAAAAGAAUGGGGACUCAAAGUCUAAAUGUUAAAUUUUAGAAGAGUACAAGACUUUUGACAUAUUUAAAUCUACUCUAAAUUAUUAAUUAUAGUUGAAAGACUAAAUACGUAAAAAAUGCAUGGUGCAAGGACUUUAUUUAGAAAUUGACCUAAAAAACCUUUUAAAGAUGCCUUCCCACGUAAACACCCUUUCAUUGGAGCGUGUGAUGGAAUACCCAUCAAAGAGCGUGGAGUUAGUUUGAGAUGAAAACCCUAAGGAUUAAUUUCUUUCUUUUUCUUUUUUUAAUUUCCGUGAUGUAAAUGUAAUGGGUGAGUGUUUAACCCUAGCUAGCCCAUUUUCACAUUAAAAAUGCCUAACCCCCGAACCUUUGGCUGGCCUACAAAACUAGUUACUAAAUUUAUGGCAUUUAGGGUGUGGAUCACAUGCAUUUGGGUUCGGGACAUUUACAUUUCAAUCUUCAUGACAUGUUCGUCUUUUGAUACAUUAAUAGUGAAAUAUAUAGAAAAAUUAUAUACUGUUGAUUUAUUUAUAAAAUUUGAAGUUUUUAAUAAAGGAGAAUGAUGAUCAUAUGAUAUACGAUUUUUGUCAUUUGUAAAUUAUUUCUCGUAAAAAAAAGGCAUCUUUUACUUUUAUUCCACCCAUAAAAUCACCCCACCUUUCACCUAAAUUGUACCAUACUUUGAUGCUUUAAACUUACAAUCUCCUCACCAUAAAUUCUUUCAUUAUCCAAAUGUAUAAGUUGAUAAUGUUCCAAAACCAAAGUGAUAGAUUCUUUACUUGAAGAAUAGGGAAAAACUUGAAUAAAGUCAUAAAAAUAUAAAGAAAUUAGGGGAGAGAAGUUCAUCCCCUAUUGGGUAGGUUGGGGUUAAACGUAGUAAAUAGGAGAGGGAAAAAAACACCCCUAUCGAAAAUAAGUGAAAUAUAUGCUCACUUUUGUUAAUUAUGACGUGUUGAAUGAGAAAAAUAAAAAAGGUUGACAUCUUUACUUAUAGAUUAAGUAUACUAAAUCAAUUUGGUUGUUGAUCUUUUUCCAAAUUAAAAGAAAUCAUUGAAUCCAUUUGGAAAGAGUGUCCAAAAACAUGCAUGAUAUAGUAUAUAUUUACACGUAUGUAAAUAUCUUUUCCCAUAUAUGUUCAUAGCUGAUUUAACUUUUUUUUUAUUUCUCUCGAUGUUUACUGGUCGUAAGAGUUAAUCUGAGUCAGAUUUUAUUUCGAGAUAAAUUCUUUUAAUAUUGUUUAUUUAUCUACAAAUUUUAAAUUUAAAAUAUUACUUGAGAAAUAUUCAACUACUUACUACAUAUACUAAUUGGUUUAUCGGAUGCACAUGAAUUGGCCAUUUUCAUCUAGUUCUCAUGUUUUUGUUGGUUUAUAUUUAAACAACAGUGAGAUGAAUAAGAUAUUUAGAGUUUUUAGUUUAGUUGGUUUCGAAGGCGUGGUGGCACUGCUAGCUAGCACAUGUUCCCAACUAGAAUGUGUAACACUUAUUUAAAAGAAACCAUGCAUAUGAUAUGGAUCGACAAAAUCAUAUCAACCAUAUGUUCCUUCCUACAUCACAUUAAAAACACAAACUCACUUUCAGGUCAAAGAAAAAAAUCAAGGCCGGCAUCAAUUGUUUUCCAAUAUUGAUGAUGAAUGCUCUCUCCCAAUGGGUUUUACAACUUUAUAUUGUUUUAGAUUCAGAAUCUUAAAAUCUAAAAUCCCUUCUCUUAUUUUUUAUUUAUUUAUAUUUAGUGCAGAAAUAGUGUUAGAUUGAAAGUGGGUGGCUAAGAUGGAUCCAGUACACACUACACAGUAUCCUCUCUCUUUAUAUACAGGGCCGGAGUUUCUCAGUCUGAACUCAGGGGUCAGUGAACCCAUUGAUAUUUGUGUUGAAUUUGAGAAGGAAAAAAAUUGUCAUAGAUAUUGAGGAUUUGUUGGGUCUAAUGACUGAAAGAUACAUCACUCUUCUUGUGGAGAGGGCCCUCCUUUAUAAUGUUUCUGCCAUCAUAGGUAUAUAGACCCAACACCAAUAAACAAUUAUAUAGUAAAAAGGAAUUUCAUUAUUAUUAUUAUUAUUUCUUUUGAUGACCUAAGUUCCCAAAAUCGUAGCUACCGCUUCCUGAAAAUAUCUGAAAUGGCUUCCAUUAUUAUUUGCAGUUCUCAUACAAAAAACUAAGUUUGACUUUGAAUAUGUAUAAAGAUAUUGUGGUUAAUUAUCUGAUGUAUUAUAUUUGGUGGAUCUGAUAGUUUGUGUCAUGCGACACAAGAUUGCAAGAAAGAAAAUCCGAAAACUCCUUAAGACGGCAGUCGCCCAAUCGCUUGGACAAUGAGAAGCCACCUAAUCUGCCGGAUUACGGUUAGGGUACUAAAUUAUGACUCGAAAAUCUCACCUCAGGUUUUGGGUAAGUAAGAAAGCAUAAACUUUAAAACAAAAAUCUUGUCGAAAAAGCUGUAAAUCUCACAAAAUCCUGGUUAUAAUUUUCAUGGAUAUCUCUUUGUUCUCGAUUUAUCUCAAUUUAAAGGAACAUAUAUAUAUAUAUAUAUAGGGACUCAUUUUUCUGUAUAUAUAAUCUGGGUAAGAUGUCAGCUCAUCAGCAAAAAGGUUAGUUGAUUAUAUAAAGGGAAAGAUAUUAUCAAUGAUGAGUUUAUUUUAUGCUGGAAAAAUGGUAAUUGAUUUUAUUUUGAAACGCUUUGGGACAAAACCCAGAACUUUUUCUGUGCUAAAAAAGGUUUGUUUUUUCUAAAAUAGCAUAAACAUUUUUUUUAAGAAAAAAGAAAAAAAACCAGUUCAAGGCUGAAUUAAAAGAGAAAAGACAAGUGUAUGGUAUAUAUACACACGUCACUAUGUAGUGUAUAUAUAUGUAUAUACAUAUCUACUCAUUUUCCUACCAGAUCUCUUAUAUAUACAUAUACAUCUGCGCUAAGUUCUGAUUAAGCUACAAAACUCAGUUUUAUAGCUUUCUGCCAAUUCCGGUGAAUUUGUCUUCUUUGAUGCAUGCAUGCGUCCGUAUCUUUGCUUUUGUAAAUAAUAAUAAUAAUCUUGCGAGGUCUUUUAUUUCUUUAAAAAAUUUUGAUUAUUUAAUAUUGUAUUUGAAUAUAUUUGUUUUUAAUAAAUAAAUAAAAAUCAAACUAAGACUUUAUUCUUCAGAAUAUUCAGUAGUCAUGAUUUAAGAUUAUAGGACAUUUGAUUUAAGUGUUAGUGUCGGAUCUUUAAUUGUAAGAUUUUUAUUAGAGAGAGUUGGUUAGGUGCAUAACAUGAUUGUGGGUUUGUGAUUUUUUCUAUUUUUAUUUUUAUUUUGUAAACCAAAUAUUUAUAACUAUGGACCAAAUCCAAAUUGCAUGAGUUUAUUUUUGUCAUUAAAUCCUAUCCAUGAAUUAAUGCCUUGUGGACAUUAAAUUGUUUGGAAAGACAAAUGUAUUUAGGGCCAUCCAGUUUUGUAGUUUUUUUGUGAAAGGGACGGCAAGCUAUACAUGAAAGAGGAAUGAUGGCACUGAAUGAAUGUCUGUUUUAUUGGUAAAACUUUAAUGUCUUUUAAUUAAGGUAUUAAAUUUUAAUCUGAAGAAAAUAAUGUUAAAGGUUUAAUUUAAUUCGGUUUUAAAUUUUAUUAUAAAGAAUAAUUUCAUCCAUACCACUGUUUGGUACAGAGAAAAUGGAAAGUUGAUGAAUUAAGGUCCGUAAUUUUUAAUUUUCUUCCUAAUCUUUAAUUUUAUUCUCAAAUAAUCUCUAAACUUUGUUUUAGUAUUUUUCUUUUUAAUCUGAAAUAAGCUUUGGAUUAAUAUUUUUGUUUAAAAACUUAUUUAGUAAUACGAAUUAAAAAAUAAUAUUUUAUCUGGACAUUAUUUGAGUAGUGGUUGAAAAUAAUUAAAUCAAUUGAAAAUUAAUAUUUUUAGUGAUUUAAUUUUUUUUAUAAAUUUGAUAAUUCAUAAUGAAAAACCACUAUAUAAUUUUUCUAUAAAAAUAUUGAAAAUUUUUCAAUUAAUUUUGUUUUAUUAUUUUAACAUUAUAUUAUCUUCAUAUAUUUUACAUUUCAAAAUGUUUAAAAAAUAAGAAUGAAUAUGUAAAAUAAAAGAAAAUUAUACUUUAAAUUUAUAUUUAUCAAACAAUUUAAUUUUAUAUUUAAUUUCAAAUAAUAUAUAAAAAUUAUAAUUUAACUUCAAUAGUUAUUUUUUUAAAUUUAUCAAAUUACACCUAAUUAGAAUUAGAAUCCCCUUAAAAAUAUAAAAGCUCAAAAUUAACUUAAAUGAAAUAAUUUAAAGAUUACUUCAAAUACUAAUACUUUUAGCCUAUUAAAAUGUUUUUUAUUUUAUUUUCUUUUCAAUUCUUUUUAUUAUUAUAACAUUAUAAACUUAGGUCACAAGUUUGGUUGGAUUUAGAAUGUCAUACUGAUUGCUACUGUAGCUGUCUGAACUAAUCAUUCAAUUAUUACACAUUAAAACAUAAAAUUUAAAUAUACAAACAAGUAAUCAUUUAGCAAUAUCAUGCUUAUAAAAACAAUUAGCACAACUCAACCGAAUAACCAAACAAUUAAUCAAUAUGAAAGUGACCAACUAAUCAUAUAGACCAAAAUACAUGUUAAGGCUAAAUUAAGUGAAAAUUGUCUUUACAAAAUAAAGAUUAUGGAGAUUCUUUAGCGAUGUUACUUAUUUAUGAACUCUUCAAUCCACACAAAAAAUUAAAAACCUGAACGCUAAAUUUUUUAAAGAUGAGUGGUCAUCUCCAUAUUCUAACUUUACUAAUUAAAUAUUAAAGUUAUUUAAACGCAUUUUAACAUGUAACCAAAGUCUUUAAUACAUUUCCAUAACAAUAUAAAAAGGCUUUAUUCAUAAUUUGACAUUAGAAUUAUACCUAUUUUCCCACUUUGGUACCUAAAUUAUUUUGUCCCAUUUGGUACCUAAACUUUGCUUAGUUACAAUUGUUUCGGUAGCUAAAAGCUAAUAACGUUAAAAAUAAAAAAGGAGUUAACUAAUGAGAAAGUGUCACGUCAUCAAUGACAUGGCAUAUUGACCAACGACAUGGUAUGUUAAUGAUCAUUGAUGGGAAUUGAACGGGUGUUGACCCACAUUGACCAACUGCUGAUCGGCAUUGAUUGGUCAAAAAAUCAUUAAAAGUUAUCUAAAAAAUUGUAAAAAUUAUUGAAAAUUGUAAAAAUUAAAAAAAAUGUAAAAAAAAGUAUUAAAAAUAAUUGUCUUUUACUUCGGUUUAUGGAAAAUUUUCUGGACAUUCUGAAAUAGAAAAUGAAGAUAGAAUAGCAACUUAGGGAUGUAAAAGGUGCUUGUGAAGAUUGUGGGGUUUCUUUUUUGCAGUACAACCAUUGCCUGUCAUAACAAGAACUUCCAACGUUUCUUUUUUUUUUCUUUUUCUUUUGUGCAAAUGAAAAUGCUUGUAUUUGAAAAUAAAAAUAUUAAUAAAGGUUUGCUUUCUCUUUCACGUGGACUUGUGGCAUAUUUCUGAUUUCACUCUCACCAUUUAGCCCUGUUGUUACUUUUUGUGUUGCAUUUGUCUUCUUUAACCUCAAAGAAGGAUAAUAUUCCUUACGAAAAUUCAAUGCUUAUCAAUACCAAUAUCCUUGCAGACUCGCUAGGUAUCCUCCUGCUGCUUAGAUAUGUAAAAUUGCUUGAAAUAGGACUGAAAACUUGGAUUGCUGGUAAUGUUUUUGUCUUUCUCUUUGUCUUGCAUACAUAUUUGUUACAUCAAAGUAAUCUGAUGGAGAAAUGGGCCUCGCUAUGGGGGUACGUAUGCAUUGCUGAAAGGGAAAUUUGUUGGUUUCAUUGCGUUUUUCUAUAGUUAAUUUCUGCUGUAAUAUUUAACUUUCAAAAAGGUGAAAUUUAGAAGAUAAGAAUUAAGUGAAGGUUACAGAUAUAGAACUUCUCAAAAGUAAAUAUAUAUAUAUAUAUAUAUAUAUAUGAUUUUUACAACUUGUUUAAUAUUUUAAAUAAUUUUUUACAAUUUUUAAAUAAAUUUUACAAGUUCUUUUUGGGCAUUUUACCAAAAAAAGCCUUUUAUUUAAUUAUUGAAAUGGACCCAGUAUUUUAUUAUUUACAGGAAUGGGUCAUUUUCCGACAAAUCGCGUCCACGUCAGCGCGAUGUCAGGGGACGUGCCAGGAAAUCGCGGCCACGUCAGCAAAGCGCCCUGAUGUGGCCGCGACUUGCCCCGAGCGUGAACAGUGCAACGGUCAAAUUUUUGACCGUUGCCCCCCCUACGGUAAAAAAAAAAACUAUAAAUACCCCCACCUUUUUUUUUCACAAACUAAUCCUCUCUCAAAUUUCCUCUCAAUUUCUAGGACCUACUGUAGCAAAAGCGCGUCCACGAGGGUGCGAUUUCACAAAUUCUUCUCAAAUAGCAUCCUGCUAGAAGCGAUUUUAUACUAUUUCCUCAAAAACGUCAACUCGAAAUUAUUUCUUCCAAGACCUACUGUAGCAAAAGCGCGUCCACGAGGCCGCGAUUUCACAAAUUCUUAUCAAACAGCAUCCUGCUAGAAGCGAUUUUAUACUAUUUGCUCAGAAACGUCAACUUGAAAUUAUUUUUUCAGGACCUACUGUAGCAAAAGCACAUAAACGUGGGCGCGAUUUAUUUGUUUACUUUUUUUAUACAAAACCCUAAAAACCCUAAACCCUAAAAUCCAAAAACCUGACGUGGGAAAAGGGGCAAAUCGUGUCCCCGUAACGCGCUACGUCAAGAAAUCGCGGCCACGUCAGCGCGCUUUACUGACGUGGCAACAAAUCGCCCCCUCGUGCACGCGAUUUGUUGCCAUGCAGGUCAGCAAAGCGCGCUGACGUGGACGCGAUUUUCUGGCACGUCCCCUGACAUCGCGCUGACAUAGACGCGAUUUUUCGAAAAAUGGCCCAUUCCGGUAAAUAAUAAAAUAUCGGGUCCAUUUCGGUAAAUUUAUAAAAAAAUUAAACUUUUAUUGGUAAAUUGGCCAUUCUUUUUCACAUUUAAAAUAAGUUUUACCAUUUUUAAAUAAAUUUCAAUGAUUUUUUAAUUGGUCAACAGCUGACCAAUGCCAGUCAACGUUUGGUCAACUUGGUCAAUCUGGCACGUCAUCAGUCAACAUUUCACGUCAUUAGUCAACAUGCCUAUUCAUCAAUCAAUGUGCCUAGUCAUUGAUGACAUGGCACUUCUCAUUAACUAGUUUUUUUUUUAGCGACAUUAGCUUUUAAAUACCAAAGCAAGUGACAGAAUAAAGUUUAUGUUCCAAAAUGGGGUAAAAAAAAGUCUUAAGUAAGUGGGAAGACGAGUAUGGUUCAAGGGUCAAAUUGUGGAUGAAGUCAUAUUAAAUAACAAUUGAACGAUUUUCCACAAUACAUAAAUAUAAUUUGCAUUUUUCAUAGCAAAUAACAAUUUGUCAAUUUCCAUAAGUGAUACAUAAAAAAUCUCAUUUUAAAAGGGUAAACUACGGUAGAGAUCACCCAACUAUGUGUUUUUUUUUUGGCCCAACUAUAAAAAGUUAUAAAAUGGUCACUCAACAAUUUAAUUUUUUUCACUAGUUGGUCAACGUAAAAAUGAAAACACCUAGAAAGCCAAGAUAGUUGGGUGGCAAAAAAGACAAUUGAAUAGUUGAGUGACUAUUUUGUAACUUUUCAUAGUUGAGUGACCAAAAAAGAAAAUUACUAAUAGUUGUAUGACCAUUUUGUAACGUUUCAUAGUUGGGUGACCAAAAAAGAAAAGAAAAAACCAUAGUUAGGUGACUACUAAUGUAGUUUACCCAUUUUAAAAUUUGCCCAAGUAAUCACAUGCAAAAAAUACAUUUAGACAAACAAGGAUCCAACUGAACACUAAACAAUCAAUGAAGAAGGCGCAAGACACUUCAUAUAACAAUAACAAUACUUUGGUACGCAAUUUAAUCAAUAACCAACUGAAUACCAAUGUGUAAAAUGCAACAAUAGCAAUACUUUGGUACGCAAUUUAAUCAAUAACCAACUGAAUACCAAUGUGUAAAACGCAACAAUAGCAAUACUCCCAAACACACAAGACAAUUCGUACAAUACAAUAAGCAAUAUGGAGUCUCUUAUACUCUGAAGCAUGUUGACUAUAUCCAAAAGUUUUCUAAAACAUUUUCCUCGGCAUUAGGAAUCAUUUAAAAGAAACUUUAUAAGCACAUAUAAAAUCUUUCCAUCAAUAUUUAACACAUAUAUAAGCGUUCAUUGGUGAGAAACGUUCAAUCAUUGACAUCAUUCGCUUUGGAUUAUUCACAUACCCUUUCACUUCAAAGUAGAAAACGUACAAACACUUAUUAAAAAUAAAUCUAGUGGCAAUUGGUCUAAUUGCAUAUGCAUCCCGACAACUGAAAAUGCAUGAACGUAAUUUUCCGACGCACUAUUUAAAGCUUGUUGUUAUGGCAUUUGCUCUAAAGAUCUAAAGGCAUUACUUGUAUGGUGAAAAGUGUCAUAUUUACUCAGAUCAUAAAAGUCUCAAAUAUCUCCUCUUCCAAAAGGAGUUGGACCUGAGACAGCACUAUUGAAUCGAAUUGCUAAAAUAUUAUGAUUGUGUGAUUGGUUACCAUCAGGGCAAAGCUAUUGUUGUUACUGAUGCUUUGACCCAUAAGUCGGCAAUUGAAUUGAGAGCAAUGUUUGCUCAGCGUAGCAUUUGUGAUGAGUAGCCUUUUGGCUGAGUUGAAAGUUAAACCCGUAUUGCUUGAUCAAAUUAGAGAAACGUAGUCUAUUGAUGCUAAGCUAGUGGAGAAAAUGAAGCUUGUUCAACAAGUGAAUAUCGAGAGUUCCAACAUUGAUACGAAUGAUUGCCUUUGGUUUCGCAAUCAAAUCUGUAUCCUUAAUAAUGCUGAUCUGAAAAUUAUGAUUUUACGAGGAACUCACGAUAGUCCUUUUGCUAUGCUUUCCGGUAUUGUGAAAAUGUAUUGUGAUUUGCGAGAAUCAUACUAGUGGCCUGGAAUGAAAAGAGAGAUUGUUGAUUAUUUCGCUAAAUGCCUGACUUGUCAACACGUAAAAGCCAAACAUCAAGUUCCCGUCAGGUUGCUUUAACCUAUUUUUAUUCUAGAAUAGAAGUAGGAAGGAUUGUUAUGGAUUUAUAGUUGGUUUACCGUUAUCUCUAAGUAAAAGGAAUUUGAUUUGGGCAAUAGUGAAUCGACUAACAAAAUAUGCUUAUUUUCUUACUGUGAGAAUUGAUUGGUCACUUCCAAAGUUAGCUAAAGUCUAUAUUCACGAGAUAGUCAGAUUGCACAAUGUGCCUGUAUCUAUUAUCUCCAACCAAGACCUUCAUUUUACCUCGAAAUUCUGGAAACAAUUGCAUGAAUCAUUAGGAUAAUAUGUUCGUGAGAUAGUCAGAUUGCACGAUUAACCUUUUUUUUUUUACUGAUUUGAGAAGUUUUAAGUUAGGAUGUUAUAUAUACACAGAUUGCAUUGUUAAAGGAAAAGGUAGGUUAGAAUAUAUUGAAAGGGAAAAUCAAGAAUUUUGAAUAUAGAUCAUUAAAAGAACAUGAAAAAAUAUAUAAAAAGAUAAAUAAUUAUUUCUUUAUUAAACUAAAUUAGACUUUAUCACGAGUCAGGUCAAGCCGAUAUAAAGUUUUAGCCUCGAUUUGAAAAACGAGCCUAAAAUUUUGCCCAAAUACGGCCUAGAUAAAAAAUACUAAACUCAAGCCCAGUUCAUCCCGAACUAAAUUUUUUUAUAUAAAAAUAAAUUUUAAAAAUAUAAUACAUUAAAUACAAUAAAAACAUUAAAAUAAAUAUUUCCCAACAAAUUAAAAAUAUAUUUUAAAAAGUCUUUAUAUUUAAAUAACACUACAAUAGUUGCAACUUAAAAAAUAAAUGUCUUAGUAGCAAAAUUAAUAAUAAAACAAGAGUUAUACAAUAUCCAUACAAUAACAACAAAAUAGUAACAAUAUAAUAACAAAAUUACAGCAAAACAACAGUAACCAACAACAAACAACAGCAAGGACAAAAGAUUUUAGACAAAUUCGGGGAAACCCGGGCUAAAAGGAUAUUACCCAAAGCCUGGCCCAUUUAAAAAGCAAACUUCAUUUUUUGAUCAAGCCCAUUUUUCACACCUAUAUAUAUUGAGAUUGGACGGGUUUACCGAUCCAUGAUCAAAUCUAAAUUGAGUGAUUUGAUCUGAUCUGAUUUAUAUAUAUAUAUAUAUAUAUAUAUAUAUAUAUAUAUAUAUAUAUAUACAUAUACAUAAAUUUCGUAUUGAUAUGAACCACCAACACUCGCUUCAAAUCAGAAUAACAUAGCUUCUCAUGCAAAUUAGAUAAUAAUCAUCUCAGGAUUUAGCCUCUCAUAAUAAGAGGAAUCAUGUUGGCCACAAAAGAUAGUUUAGUAAUCAACAAGGGAAAGAACAACAUACACUAUAAAACAGCAAAACGACUUGGGAUGGUAUAUAUGUAUAUCCUAUAGGCUUCAUACGAUACCAUCCAUGUUUAUCUCUUUUUCUCAAACCUUAAGAGCUGUAAAUUACAACUGAAUAAUAACUAACAAUACAGGUAUAGAGUAUACCUAUAAGGCUCUUUUAUUGACUAAUUGCCUGUUCUGUUUCCACUCCCAAUAACUGGCUCAAGAAUGGAGCAUAAACCAACUUAAGUGACAAACAAGCACUUUGAAGUACAAAUUAAGGGCAGUAAUUAGGUUUUACAAACAUUUGUUCAGGACAACACCAGCAUACAACAUUGAAUAAUUUCAGUUGGUAAAGUAAUGUAAGGGUGAGUGUGCAUGGGUCGAGGCAAAUGCAAAUAUUUACAGGCCUUACCGUGCACCUACCUUUUUCAUUUUUCAAGGCUUGAAAUGGAAAAUGCCAGUGCAAGUACAAGAACAAAAAAUUCAACUUGUGUAGUAAAUAUGACCGGUUUGAAGCCAGACACUUGAUAAAGCUUUUAAGCCUGUUUUUUUUUUUUUUGGGGGGGGGGUUAGGGGGGUGGUUCUGGGCAUCAAAGAAGGUGCUUCGGGUUUUGCCUGCAGAAAAUUAGACAAGUCAAUUUCUGAUUGAAGAACUCAGGUAGCGGAAGUGGCAAGAGAAGAGAUCAGUUUGAAACCAGAAUGAAGAUGAA